rnacentral:rRNA from 1 species
AGUGAACGCUGGCGGUAGGCCUAACACAUGCAAGUCGAACGGCAGCACAGUAAGAGCUUGCUCUUACGGGUGGCGAGUGGCGGACGGGUGAGGAAUUCAUCGGAAUCUACUUUUUCGUGGGGGAUAACGUAGGGAAACUUACGCUAAUACCGCAUACGACCUACGGGUGAAAGCAGGGGAUCUUCGGACCUUGCGCGAUUGAAUGAGCCGAUGUCGGAUUAGCUAGUUGGCGGGGUAAAGGCCCACCAAGGCGACGAUCCGUAGCUGGUCUGAGAGGAUGAUCAGCCACACUGGAACUGAGACACGGUCCAGACUCCUACGGGAGGCAGCAGUGGGGAAUAUUGGACAAUGGGCGCAAGCCUGAUCCAGCCAUACCGCGUGGGUGAAGAAGGCCUUCGGGUUGUAAAGCCCUUUUGUUGGGAAAGAAAAGCAGCAGGUUAAUACCCCGCUGUCCUGACGGUACCCAAAGAAUAAGCACCGGCUAACUUCGUG